UGCCUAUUCUCAUGGCCACAAAUCGGCAGUAAUGAGAUUUAUUUGCUUUGACUCUAACUGCAAUUGACUAAGCAAAUUACACACUAAAAAAUAAUAAAUAAAUAAGUGCAGCAAAAAUAAAUGACAGCAGCAACAUUAUUAGUUCAAGAACUUCCUAUUCUUCACAAUGACUCUUGUUGACCGACGUACUAGCGUAUCAUUACCUCCCCCAUCAGAUGGAACCUUGUCCUCAAGGUUCAGAUGCGGAAACCGUAGUUGCAGUUCUGCAGAAUGUUCC
rnacentral:lncRNA from 1 species